GGGCUGUGAGGGGCGAUGGAGGGGGGUGAGGGUGGCUGUGAGGGCUGAGGGGAGCUUUGGAGGAACAGGAGGCAGUGAGGGGUCACAGUGAAGGACUGUGAGGGGGUGCAGGCCAAAAUUUAGGGAGUGUGAGGGGUGAUAUGGACUGUGAGGAGUGGUGGGUGUCAGUGUGGGGCAGACAGGGUGGUUGUGGCAGUGUUGUGAUAAGAGUAUAGAAAUCUGGUGGAAAAGAAGCCCCUUGUUAGCCAGCUGGUCGUUGGAGAUCAGAGAGGGUGAGGGUAGCUGGGCUUAAUCUCUUAUUAUAACUAGUUUGGUACUAUAAGUGGUUGCAUUCAGUAGGAACUCCCAUGAGCACAGGUUCUCAAACAAGGCAUGUUCAACACUGAGUGUGGUAAUGUUCAGUAAGAACUUUCACAGGUUUAUGAAUAGUGUUUAUUGAAGUGGCAGAAAUGCAAGGGGCAGAAAUGCAAGGGGGGAAUGGAAGGGGGGAAUAACUGUAAGGUAGUAUGUUUUAAUUAGAUUUUCAGAAGAAAUUCUUUACUCAGAGGAUGGUGAAGCCCUGGCACAGGGUGCCCAGAGCAGCUGUGGCUGCCCCUGGAUCCCUGGCAGUGUCCAAGGCCAGGCUGGACAGGGCUUGGAGCAACCUGGGACAGUGGGAGGUGUCCCUGCCCAUGGCACGGGGUGGAACUGGAUGAGCUCUAAAAUCCGUUCCCAUCCAAACCAUUGUAAGAUUCUAUGAAAUAAUAGAUUUGGAAUUGCCCUAGAUGGAUGCACUAGCUGUGAUAGAGUUCUAACAGUAGCAGUAGUAUAGAGGUAGCUCAGGUAAUAAUCAUCAUUUUAUGUAGAAGCUUACAAUGAAUGCUUGGGAGGAGGGAGAGGAGACUAGUAGCCCAUCAACUGUUUCUGAGGUCCUUUUGGGUCUUUGUAACUAGGUGAAAUUUUUACCCUCCUUAUAUACACCCCAAUCUUAUCCCCCUCCUCCUUCUUCACAUAUAGCACGAUCUAAGCAGAGAGCAACGUAAUACAGUAAUAUAUGUGAGACUAAGGUACUUAAUGAAGGCAAUUAGCAUAUGCAGAAUUUGUUGGGGUUUUUUUAUGGUUUUUGUUAAGGUGUCCUUCAAAGUUCUGGUCAUACAACUUUGUUCUCAUUUGCUUCAUUCUUCAGAGCGAGAGCAGGAUCAUUGCAUCUCCACAGGACGUGCUCUUGCAGGGCCUUUCCUGAUGUCAGCCAUGCAGCUCUCCAUCCACAGAGAUACGACAGAGGGUACACAGCAUACGCUGUGCCAGUAUCUUAAUGAGAGAUUUGCUCGGUGGUGUGGAUCACUUAUCUUCCACUUCCAACAGCCAGAUGUGGUUCUGCCCCUCUAGAUGAGCUGCUGAUGUUACUCCUGGCAAUGAAGAUAAUGCCACUGGGACUGCCUGAGAUGUUUUGGUGCAUGAACAAACUUCUGCAGCAAGUGGCAGUGAGGUGUCUCACUGCAGGCACUCAUGUCGGAGGAGAUGCUUGGAGCUGAGGGCUGCUGGCUCCCACCUGAGUGCAGGUCACUGGGAUUCAACCUGAGGUCUCCCAGCUCUGUGAACCGACCUCAGCAUCCGGCAGAUCCCUGAGGUGACCUCACCCAGCAGGUUUUUCCGCAGGUGGGACCGCCCCGGGAGGCCGUGCAGGUUUGGGGGAGCGCAGCUUUGGUGCUGGCUGCUGCCCCAUGGCAGCUGCAGCCGGCCGAGUGCCGGACGGCGCGCUGCGCCUCCGGCUGCGCUGCGAGCCCGGCUCUCCGGGCAGGUGUGCUGAGGGGCGGGCCCCGCGCGUCCCCUCGGCAGCCAGGGGUGAUGCCGCUGCUGGAGAAGCAGCGCAGAGGCCAGACAUGCGUGCAAGCAGCUGUGUGUGCACAGAGCUGUGUGCAGGAGCACCCUGGGGUACUUGGCCUGUGUCCCUCAUCUCUGCUGCUGUCCUGUGUCUAACUAAUGCAGGCUGGCUUCUAAACUAAAAAUUUGUCCUUCAAAUUUGGUAAUGUCACUUUAAUUCACAGAGCACUUUUAAGAUGCUCAGAUGUAUUUGGCAACUGUGAUUUUUUUUAUUAGUAAAAUUAUAGCAUAUGAUAUUAAAAAUCUGUUUUCGUUGCUCUUGUUGGAAGGGAUGCCAAAUGCAAAUCCAUUUAGAUAAGUGAACUGGAUUUGUAGACUUCCUUUUGCUGUGCCUAUUAAACAGGUG